CAAAAAACUGCCUAUCAAGUACUAUGCUUAUUACCUUGGUGACAAAAUCAUCUACAUGCAAAACCCCCAUGACAUGUAGUUUACCUUUAUAACAAACCUGCACAUGUACCCCUGAGCCUAAGAUAAAAGUUAAAAAAAAAAAAAAGGAAAGAGAGAGUGA